GUGCUGCACUGGCCCACCGAGAAGGCCGCUGUCAUGGUGGGAGCACUCAAUUCCGGAGAAUUACGUUUCUUCAGAGCUCUUUACACACACUCUCACGGGCGUAUUUGGACCCCUCCAUUCGUGUGGUCGGCUGCCAAAACUGGAAAGAGGGCCCGAAUCCACUCUACCACCUUCCAUCGUCUCUCUACCAGCUCCUUCUGGUUGCUCGCCAACUUCUGACCGACUUUAUGAACGACUCCAAACAAGUGCCGGGAAUGAGAUCAGGUCUCUAAUCUUCCUCCGGCUUGCCAGGCUGCAAGAUGAUGGUGGGGAUGAUGAUGAUGAUGAUGAUGAUGGUGGUGGUGAUGGGGGUGCUGCUGCUGGUGCUGGUGGAGUCCCACAGAUCUCAGCACCUAAUUGAAUGGAUGAAAUUAGCCGUUUAUUCAUUUACCCCCCCUUGGAAAAAUGCUAUUAAUGAUGAGCUGGUCGUCGGACUCUAUAAAUGUAUUUAUAAGCCGAUUUAUUCAUGAUUGCAUCAUUUGCAAAA